CGGGGGGAGCAAGCGUUGUUCGGAUUUACUGGGCGUAAAGGGCGCGUAGGCGGCGCAACAAGUCACUUGUGAAAUCUCCGGGCUUAACUCGGAGCGGCCAAGUGAUACUGUCGUGCUAGAGUGCGGAAGGGGCAACUGGAAUUCUCGGUGUAGCGGUGAAAUGCGUAGAUAUCGAGAGGAACACCUGCGGCGAGGGCGGGUUGCUGGGCCGACACUGACGCUGAGGCGCGAAAGCCAGGGAGCGAACGGGAUUAGAUACCCGGUAGUCCUGGCCUUUAAACGAUGGAUGCUUGGUGUCCGGGGUUACAUAGUCCCCGGGUGCCGUCGCUAACGCCUUAAGCAUCCCGCCUGGGGAGUACGCACGCAAGUGUG
rnacentral:rRNA from 1 species